rnacentral:lncRNA from 1 species
UCCUGUUCUGACCGCCUCUUGAGAGGAAAGCAGCUCUGUAUCCCAAGCGCUCUGGGGUGGUCUUCAUUUGUCUUUGUGCCCGGUACUUUGUCAGUGAAUGUUUUUUAAGUUUUCAUCUCUAAUAACUAAAUUUUUCAUUUCUACUAACAUUUUGAGUUUUUAAAUUUAUUCUUUGGAACUUAAGUAUUUUAGUUCCCUUCCCAGAGAGAAUUUCUCUCUUGCCUCCUGAAGAUUCUAAUAGUCCCAAUGUCAGUCUGUUUCUCUAAGCUCCUUUUAUUCCAGU